GCCCGGAUGGCGGAAUUGGUAGACGCACUAGUUUCAGGGACUAGCGGUCGCAAGGCUGUGCAGGUUCGAGUCCUGUUCCGGGCA
rnacentral:tRNA from 1 species